UUCCGAUGCUAAGACGCUAGCUGCCUG
rnacentral:sRNA from 1 species